GAUGAACGCUGGCGGCGUGCCUAAUACAUGCAAGUCGAGCGAACGGACGAGAAGCUUGCUUCUCUGAUGUUAGCGGCGGACGGGUGAGUAACACGUGGAUAACCUACCUAUAAGACUGGGAUAACUUCGGGAAACCGUAGCUAAUACCGGAUAAUAUUUUGAACCGCAUGGUUCAAAAGUGAAAGACGGUCUUGCUGUCACUUAUAGAUGGAUCCGCGCUGCAUUAGAUAGUUGGUAAGGUAACGGCUUACCAAGGCAACGAUGCAUAGCCGACCUGAGAGGGUGAUCGGCCACACUGGAACUGAGACGCGGUCCAGACUCCUACGGGAGGCAGCAGUAGGGAAUCUUCCGCAAUGGGCGAAAGCCUGACGGAGCAACGCCGCGUGAGUGAUGAAGGUCUUCGGAUCGUAAAACUCUGUUAUUAGGGAAGAACAUAUGUGUAAGUAACUGUGCACAUCUUGACGGUACCUAAUCAGAAAGCCACGGCUAACUACGUG
rnacentral:rRNA from 1 species